AGUGAACGCUGGCGGCGUGCUUAACACAUGCAAGUCGAACGAGAACGGAUUAUAGCUUGCUAUAAUUGUCAGCUAAGUGGCGCACGGGUGAGUAAUGUAUAGGUAAUAUGCCUCUUACUAAGGGAUAACAAAUGGAAACGUUUGCUAAUACCUUAUACUCCUUAUUAACAGAAGUUAAUAAGGGAAAGAUUUAUUGGUAAGAGAUUAGCCUGUAUUGUAUCAGUUAGUUGGUGGGGUAAUGGCUUACCAAGACUAUGAAACAUAACUGGUUUGAGAGGAUGAUCAGUCACACUGGAACUGAGACACGGUCCAGACUCCUACGGGAGGCAGCAGUGGGGAAUAUUGCACAAUGGACGAAAGUCUGAUGCAGCAACGCCGCGUGGUGGAUGACACAUUUCGGUGCGUAAACUCCUUUUAUAUGAGAAGAUAAUGACGGUAUUAUAUGAAUAAGCACCGGCUAACUCCGUGCCAGCCGCCGCAGUAA
rnacentral:rRNA from 1 species